rnacentral:rRNA from 1 species
UUGUACACACCGCCCGUCACACCACGAGAGUUUGUAACACCCGAAGUCGGUGAGGUAACCUUUAUGGAGCCAGCCGCCGAAGGUGGGACAGAUGAUUGGGGUGAAGUCGUAACAAGGUAGCCGUAUCGGAAGGUGCGGCUGGAUCACCUCCUUUCU